AUAGGUGAAAUUCACGAAUCUUCGCUCGUUACUAGUGACGUAUUUCUGUUUUGGAUACAGAAAAAAGUCGACAGAAGUUUUAUUUUACUCUGUUGAUAACCCACAAUUGUUUGUGUCCGAGAAGACAGAGAGGGUGAAGAUUGUGUUGUCAUUUCAGCCGUACGACAAAAUGAAUGCAAGCAUUUGGAAUUCUCGUCCACACAGGCAGUCUUGAUUGAAGGAGAAAACCUCGUUAACGAUUUCACCAGAAAGAAAAAAAACAGAAGGAAGAUUUUAACGAAGCGGAAGAGGAGACUUUUCAGAUAACAUUUGAUGAUGUAUCGAAUUCCCCCGGUUCUUGUGGACAGUGGUAACGAGUAUUGUGGUAUUUUCCGUGUCUUUCUUGACUGAAGUUUGUUAAAUUAAUUCACUACCCGCCAAUCAAAAACAUUCCUAUUUACUACUAAAUGAAGAAUAGUUUCUAGAAAAACACAAGAAUAGUCGAUGGAUGUGUUGGACUUCUGUCGUUAACGGAACACUAAAAUUAAAGCCAGUGUUGUGAAAUCAUUACAAGAAUAUAUCAACAAGGAAAACAUCUUUCAUGCGAGUGAAGAAAAAGAGAAAAAUCAACGAAGAUAUUUUAAAACUAUUUUUCAAAUAUUUUGUUUUUGCAAAAUACAUUUCAUAUAAAUUGUUUUCAUUGAAAAAUGUAUAAAUUACAUUUGUUAUUAAUUUGUGAUAUUGUUUUAGUAUGUGGGUAAUACGUGUGAAUAGUUAGUGUUUCUGGA